UACGGGAGGCAGCAGUGAGGAAUAUUGGUCAAUGGGCGGAAGCCUGAACCAGCCAUGCCGCGUGCAGGAAUAAGGCCCUACGGGUCGUAAACUGCUUUUGACGUGGAGCAAUAAGGACUACGUGUAGUCUGAUGAGAGUACUCGUCGAAUAAGCAUCGGCUAACUCCGUGCCAGCAGCCGCGGUAAU
rnacentral:rRNA from 1 species